rnacentral:rRNA from 1 species
ACGAACGCUGGCGGCAGGCUUCACACAUGCAAGUCGAGCGCAUCCUUCGGGGUGAGCGGCGGACGGGUGAGUAACGCGUGGGAACGUGCCCUCUUCUACGGAAUAGCCUCGGGAAACUGAGAGUAAUGCCGUAUACGCCCGCAAGGGGAAAGAUUUAUCGGAGGAGGAUCGGCCCGCGUUGGAUUAGGUAGUUGGUGGGGUAACGGCCUACCAAGCCGACGAUCCAUAGCUGGUUUGAGAGGAUGAUCAGCCACACUGGGACUGAGACACGGCCCAGACUCCUACGGGAGGCAGCAGUGGGGAAUCUUGGACAAUGGGGGCAACCCUGAUCCAGCCAUGCCGCGUGAUCGAUGAAGGCCUUAGGGUUGUAAAGAUCUUUCAGCUGGGAAGAUAAUGACGGUACCAGCAGAAGAAGCCCCGGCUAACUCCGUG